rnacentral:rRNA from 1 species
UGAGGAAUAUUGGUCAAUGGGGGCAACCCUGAACCAGCCAAGUCGCGUGAAGGAUGAAGGUCUUAUGGAUUGUAAACUUCUUUUACACGGGAAUAAAGUGGGGGACGUGUCCACCUUUGCAUGUACCGUGUGAAUAAGGAUCGGCUAACUCCGUGCCAGCAGCCGCGGUAAUACGGAGGAUCCGAGCGUUAUCCGGAUUUAUUGGGUUUAAAGGGUGCGCAGGCGGGAUGUUAAGUCGGCGGUGAAAUUUUGCAGCUCAACUGUAAAAGUGUCGUCGAGACUUGCCUGCUUGAGUGUGGAUGAANUAGGCGGAAUGUGUUGUGUAGCGGUGAAAUGCUUAGAUAGCACGAGGAACUCCGAUUGCGCAGGCAGCUUACUAAGCAACAACUGACGCUCAUGCACGAAGGCGUGGGGAU